CAUACGUGUUCCGGAGGGGUUUUUGGAGAAGAUCAGGAUGUCGUCGAGGUGAACAAAGACGAACCGGUUCAACAUAUCCCUAAGAGUGUCAUUGAUCAAUGCCUGAAAGACUUCUGAUUUUAAGCGUUGCGGAGGUCCAGUUUGGUGAAGAAUUGGAUUCUUAGUGCCAACUCCGAGGCGGCGGACAUCGGGUGUGUUGAACAUGAGUGGAAAUGAAACUCCAGCACACCGGUAGCACUAAAGAUGUGUGAGUAUAACUUUUCCGGGUGAGUUGAUCCCGCCUGUGGGUGCAGUGGGGAUAUUCCUGGGAGGUCUACUGAUGAAGAGGUAUAAGCUUGGCGUUGUGUCUGGAGCCCAGCUGUCUUUCAUCACCGCCUACCUCCUCCUCCCUCUGCAGUCUGGCACUAAGUGUGACAAUGUUCAGGUGGCUGGUCUGACCAUGUCCUACAAUGGGUAAAUAUGACAUCUGAUUGGUUGGUUGGUGGGUGGGUUGAUAAAAACAAAAGUUUUGAUCAGUGGAAUAUGAGUGAGUUAGACUAAAGUACACAUGGGCUUGUGCCGGGGCUCCCUCUUGUGGGAAUAUACAGUAUGGUUGUUACUGGGUGUACAAAACAUUCACAGGGAUGCCGGCCCAUGUUGACUCCAAUGGCUCCCACAGUUGUGUCAAGUUGGUUGUAUGUAUUUUGAGUGGUGGA